GGAAACAGGAAGUAUCUCUCUUCCCCUCCGCUCCUGCUCCAGCGGCACAAUGUGAUCCACUGGCAAGGAGGGACGCCAAUAAGACAUCUGAUAGAUAAGUCUUAUAAAAUAUAUAGAUUUAUGAUAAUUAAGAUUGAGCUAGCAGAUGAGAAUCCUAGUCAUUGGCCAAGCAGCAUUGUACCUAAUACAAGUUUCUGUGUAUUAAUUUGGGCCUAACUCGGGCAGGUGGCUGGGUAAAGCUCACACAUGGCGGUGGGCCUCAGGCGGCUUUUGGCGGAAAGACUUAAUGUAACAUAAUUCUUUUAGUUUUAUUUAAAACAAAUACAUAGUUUAUAAAAUUUUUAUUGAAAUGCUGAGGAUAAUACCUAAGUCUUCAUGCAUGUUUUGACUAUUUAAUAAUACAGCAGUUAAUAUGACUUAGCAAAUACGAUUUAUGUUCUCCCCAAAAUUUGAACAUUCUGUAAUUUUUCCCCAAAUAUGUUUCAGAGAAAAAUUUGCAUAGAUAUAUUUGCUGGUUGGUAUGCAAAUUUUUAUUUCCACUUUGAAUUGGUCUAUGAUCUUUUCACUUUUGUCUACCAUUAGUAUUUUCCAUCUAUAUUCAAAGCCAUUGGAAUAUAACUAGAACACACCAUAAAGUCAAGAUCUGUUGCAAAUUAAAUUUCACUUAAUAUUGGUAAUAUCAGCAUAAAAAUAGGGGUGACUCAGGAAUUGGAGUUACUCCUUAACUCUUAGUGAAUAUGCUGUAUCUAUCUUUCUGGUUUAGUUUUCAAUUUUCUGAUCUACUAAUUUUAAUAAGUUUAUUCAUUUACAAGAGCUGCUGUAAGAAAUUACCAGAGCAUCGUGGAUUAAAACCAUUCCUGAGUCUGAAAGCCAGAAUCAGGAGUUGGCAGGAUUUGUUGCUUCUUGAUUUUCUGUCAGACAACCUAUUAUCUAACUUCUGGCAGCUGCAGGCCAUCUAGGGAAGCCUCCACCUCCAUCUUCAUCUGAUUUGCUCCACAUUUCUUGCUAAAAGCCACAAGAUCAUGCAACAAUAUACAGCUAUCAUAUUGUUAUGCCCAGUUUGUGGGACACCAAAAAGUCCACCACCAAAGAGACAAUUCAUCAAAUGGAAAAACAAAAGUUUCAUUUAUUGGCAAGCUACAGCCUGGAUUCUGCUGGCUCAGGAGCAAAUGGAAUACAGCUUACAGGUCUCUGGGCUAUUCAACCUGACAUUCCUGAUCAUCAAGGCAGUGUUGGACAUAGACUCUCUCAAGUGUCAAGGGCCUAAAAUUAGACCAGUCAUUGUUGGCAACUCCCACAUGUACUGCACUUUCAUUACCCCAGGACAUUUUUCAGGCAGUAUAAAUGGUUUGUCCUCCCCAUCUUCCUUUGUGUCUGAGAGUAUCCAAAAAGAUAUUAAAUUCUCCAUCAGUAAGAAAAUCCAAGCUGAGCUGUUUCUCUAAUAAUGUCUCUCAUCCUGAGGUCAAGAAAGCUUCUAAUCCAGUCAAGUGAUUUACAGAGGUCCAUCUUUUAAGGAAUAUUUGAGCUUUGAGAACUGUGAAGAGAGACAUCUACUUGUGGGAGAGAAAAGAAAUGAGCACAAGUUUAGAAUUUGAAACCAAGACUCUGCUAGUGCCUGACAAAGCCACACACCUCUCCAUCAUCCACAGAACAUACUGCUGAAUCUGUGUUAGUCAUCUGACAAAGACACUGGUCAUAGCUCAUGUAGCCACGAGCAGCACAAAAGCUAACACAGGACUUUGUCUAGAACAUAUUGCUCAGCAAACCAUGGUGAUCCAUAGCACCAAGAAGAAACAAAAGGGCACCAGACUCAGGCCAGAUCUAAUACAGAACUGCUAUACCUAUGCAAACACAGGGUGGGUUAGUCUACAGCUUCAAAAUGUAUAAUCACCAAACUUACAGUGGGCCUGAGACUAUGAAGAUCCUUCCAACUGUAAAAUUUGGGGAAUAUGCAGGCUCUAAUAUGGGCCUUGAACCAAAAUAUUUUCUCUAUCAGUGUCUCCACAACUUUAACAAGCACCACUAUGCCCAGGCUACUGCUUGAUGACAGGGUUCUG
ensembl:lncRNA